UACAGAGGGUGCGAGCGUUAAUCGGAAUUACUGGGCGUAAAGCGCACGUAGGCGGCUUGGUAUGUCGGGUGUGAAAUCCCCGGGCUCAACCUGGGAACUGCAUUUGUGACUGCACAGCUGGAGUGCGGCAGAGGGGGAUGGAAUUCCGCGUGUAGCAGUGAAAUGCGUAGAUAUGCGGAGGAACACCGAUGGCGAAGGCAAUCCCCUGGGCCUGCACUGACGCUCAUGCACGAAAGCGUGGGGAGCAAACAGG
rnacentral:rRNA from 1 species